rnacentral:rRNA from 1 species
CAAGAGCGUAUGUAAAAGUUGUUGCAGUUAAAAAGCUCGUAGUUGAACCUUGGGUUUGGUUGGCCGGUCCGCUUUUUUGCGAGUACUGGAUUCAACCGAGCCUUUCCUUCUGGCUAACCAGUCGUUUCGGCGGCUGGCGAACCAGGAUUUUUACUUUGAGAAAAUUAGAGUGUUCAAAGCAGGAAUUAGCUUGAAUAUAUUAGCAUGGAAUAAUAGAAUAGGACGUUAUGGUUCUAUUUUGUUGGUUUCUAGGACCAUCGUAAUGAUUAAUAGGGACGGUCGGGGGCAUCAGUAUUCAGUUGUCAGAGGUGAAAUUCUUGGAUUUACUGAAGACUAACUACUGCGAAAGCAUUUGCCAAGGACGUUUUCAUUAA